UACGGGGGGGGCAAGCGUUGUUCGGAAUUACUGGGCGUAAAGGGCUCGUAGGUGGCCAACUAAGUCAGACGUGAAAUCCCUCGGCUUAACCGGGGAGGGUCACGCGAUACUGCUCGACUCGAAGGCAGGAGAGGGAAGUGGAAUUCCCGGUGUAGUGGUGAAAUGCGUAGAUAUCGGGAGGAACACCAGUGGCGAAGGCGACUUCCUGGCCUGUUCUUGACGCUGAGGCGCGAAAGCUAGGGUAGCAAACGGG
rnacentral:rRNA from 1 species